AACGAACGCUGGCGGCAUGGAUUAGGCAUGCAAGUUGAACGAACCACUUCGGUGGUGAGUAGCGGAAGGGUGAGGAACGCGUGAGUAAUCUGCCCCCUAGUUGGGAAUAACAGUUGGAAACGACUGCUAAUACCGAAUGUGGCUGCAUUUCCGCAUGGAGAUGCGGCUAAAGAUUUAUCGCUAGGGGAUGAGCUCGCGUCCCAUUAGGUAGUUGGUGAGGUAACGGCUCACCAAGCCGACGAUGGGUAGCUGGUCUGAGAGGAUGGUCAGCCACACUGGGACUGAGACACUGCCCAGACUCCUACGGGAGGCAGCAGUGGGGAAUCUUCCGCAAUGGGCGAAAGCCUGACGGAGCAACGCCGCGUGAGCGAAGACGGCCUUCGGGUUGUAAAGCUCUGUUAUACGGGACGAACGGCUAGUGUGCCAAUACCACAUUAGAGUGACGGUACCGUAAGAGAAAGCCACGGCUAACUACGUGCCAGCAGCCGCGGUAAUACGUAGGUGGCAAGCGUUGUCCGGAAUUAUUGGCGCGUAAGGGCGCGCAGGCGGUUUCAUAAGUCUGUCUUAAAGUGCGGGGCUUAACCCCGUGAGGGGACGGAAACUGUGAGACUGGAGUGUCGGAGAGGAAAGCGGAAUUCCUAGUGUAGCGGUGAAAUGCGUAGAUAUUAGGAGGAACACCAGUGGCGAAAGCGGCUUUCUGGACGACAACUGACGCUGAGGCGCGAAAGCCAGGGGAGCGAACGGGAUUAGAUACCCCGGUAGUCCUGGCCGUAAACGAUGGAUACUAGGUGUAGGGGGUAUCGACCCCUCCUGUGCCGGAGUUAACGCAAUAAGUAUCCCGCCUGGGGAGUACGGCCGCAAGGCGUGAAACUCAAAGGAAUUGACGGGGGCCCGCACAAGCGGUGGAGUAUGUGGUUUAAUUCGACGCAACGCGAAGAACCUUACCAAGCCUUGACAUUGAGUGCUAUCCUCAGAGAUGAGGAGCUCUUCUUCGGAAGACGCGAAAACAGGUGGUGCACGGCUGUCGUCAGCUCGUGUCGUGAGAUGUUGGGUUAAGUCCCGCAACGAGCGCAACCCCUAUCUUCUGUUGCCAGCACGUCAUGGUGGGGACUCAGGAGAGACUGCCGCAGACAAUGCGGAGGAAGGCGGGGAUGACGUCAAGUCAUCAUGCCCCUUAUGGCUUGGGCUACACACGUACUACAAUGGCUCUUAAUAGAGGGAAGCGAAGGAGCGAUCCGGAGCAAACCCCAAAAACAGAGUCCCAGUUCGGAUUGCAGGCUGCAACCCGCCUGCAUGAAGCAGGAAUCGCUAGUAAUCGCAGGUCAGCAUACUGCGGUGAAUACGUUCCCGGGCCUUGUACACACCGCCCGUCACACCACGAAAGUCAUUCACACCCGAAGCCGGUGAGGUAACCUUACGGAGCCAGCCGUCGAAGGUGGGGGCGAUGAUUGGGGUGA
rnacentral:rRNA from 1 species